rnacentral:rRNA from 1 species
CAUAAUAAACAUAUGAGUAACAAAUGGAAGCCUAGGCAUUCAAGAAUAAGGACGUAAUCAAUUACGAAAGGCCAGCUCAGGUAUACUUUUAGUAUACGAAAACUGAUAUUAGAUAGAAGACCAUUACAAUCGAUAAUCUCUGGAUUUCCUUAAGGGUAAACCCGGUAAUUAAAUCGAUCUAAUUUUUUAGAUCACUAUGAAGCGAAUUGAAAUAUCUUAGUAGCUUCAAGAAAAAACAUCAACCGAGAUUUCGUUAGUAGUGACGAGCGAACGCGAAGUAGGCAGGUUCUAAAUUAUUGUUAUUGAUUUUUUUUGGUAAAUUACUUGGAAUAGUAUGCCAAAGAAGGUGAAAGCCCUGUAUCUUAAAAAAAAAUCAACACAUAAGAACAUUUUAUAAGUAGGACGGAGCACGUGAAACUUUGUCUGAAGAAAGGAGGACUAGACUUCUAAGCCUUAAUAUCAUUGAAUGACCGAUAGUGAAUAAGUACCGUGAGGGAAAGGUGAAACAGAAUCAGUUGACAAUGACGGAUCAAACAUAUGCCAAUAAAUAAAGUGGAGAAAAUUGAUCUUUCGAAUCAAUAUAUAUGAAGUGAAAUAGAUCCUGAAAUUUGUUACUUACAAGCACUAUGAGGGAAAAAAUAUUCCUAAAUGGGUACCUUUUGUAUGAUGGGUCAACAAGUUUAGGACAACAGCAAGCUUAAGACAUUAAGUGUCGUAGGCGUAGAGAAAUCGAGAUCUAAACUAAUCUUUAGUUGUUUUCCUAAGACUCGAAAGCAGGUGAUCGACUCGUGACCAAGUUGAAGCUCUUGUACAAGAGAGCGGAGGACUGAACUCGUCGGCGUGGCAAAGCCGUGAGAUGAGUUGCGAGUAGGGAUGAAAGGUUAAUCAAACCUGCAUAUAGCUAGUUUUUUGCGAAAUAUAUUUUAGUAUAGCGUAAUCUUAUGUUGGCAGGGGGUAUAUCACUCAGUGUACGCGGGGGGCAAAUUGCUUUACUAACUACAAUGAACAUCAGAAUACCUGCCAAUUAAAUUAUAGACAGUGUUAGGGCGAUAAGGUCAUAACACAAGAGAGAAACAGCUCUCAUCCUCUAGUAAGGUCCCAAAAAAUAUCUAAGUUAGAAAAGAAAAAGUUGACAGAAACAUUAUAGCCGUAGGCUUAGAAACAGCCACCGGUUUAAGAACACGUAACAGUGCACAAUAACUAUUAAGUCUCUUUAUUCUAAAAAUGUAACGGGAAUCAAGAUAUUUACCGAACUAGGGAAAUU